CUCCUACGGGAGGCAGCAGUGGGGAAUAUUGCACAAUGGGGGAAACCCUGAUGCAGCCAUGCCGCGUGUGUGAAGAAGGCCUUCGGGUUGUAAAGCACUUUCAGUAGGGAGGAAGGUAGUGUAGUUAACACCUGCACUAUUUGACGUUACCUACAGAAGAAGCACCGGCUAACUCCGUGCCAGCAGCCGCGGUAAUACGGAGGGUGCGAGCGUUAAUCGGAAUUACUGGGCGUAAAGCGCAUGCAGGCGGCCUGUUAAGUCAGAUGUGAAAGCCCCGGGGCUUAACCUCGGAAUUGCAUUUGAAACUGGCAGGCUAGAGUACUGUAGAGGGGGUAGAAUUUCAGGUGUAGCGGUGAAAUGCGUAGAGAUCUGAAGGAAUACCGGUGGCGAAGGCGGCCCCCUGGACAGAUACUGACACUCAGAUGCGAAAGCGUGGGGAGCAAACAGGAUUAGAUACCCCUGGUAG
rnacentral:rRNA from 1 species